rnacentral:rRNA from 1 species
UUUUGUAGAAUGAACCGGCGAGUUACGAUUUGAUGCAAGGUUAAGCAGUAAAUGUGGAGCCGUAGCGAAAGCGAGUCUGAAUAGGGCGUUUAGUAUUUGGUCGUAGACCCGAAACCAGGUGAUCUACCCUUGGUCAGGUUGAAGUUCAGGUAACACUGAAUGGAGGACCGAACCGACUUACGUUGAAAAGUGAGCGGAUGAACUGAGGGUAGCGGAGAAAUUCCAAUCGAACCUGGAGAUAGCUGGUUCUCUCCGAAAUAGCUUUAGGGCUAGCCUCAAGUGAUGAUUAUUGGAGGUAGAGCACUGUUUGGACGAGGGGCCCCUCUCGGGUUACCGAAUUCAGACAAACUCCGAAUGCCAAUUAAUUUAACUUGGGAGUCAGAACAUGGGUGAUAAGGUCCGUGUUCGAAAGGGAAACAGCCCAGACCACCAGCUAAGGUCCCAAAAUAUAUGUUAAGUGGAAAAGGAUGUGGCGUUGCCCAGACAACUAGGAUGUUGGCUUAGAAGCAGCCAUCAUUUAAAGAGUGCGUAAUAGCUCACUAGUCGAGUGACACUGCGCCGAAAAUGUACCGGGGCUAAACAUAUUACCGAAGCUGUGGAUUGUCCUUUGGACAAUGGUAGGAGAGCGUUCUAAGGGCGUUGAAGCAUGAUCGUAAGGACAUGUGGAGCGCUUAGAAGUGAGAAUGCCGGUGUGAGUAGCGAAAGACGGGUGAGAAUCCCGUCCACCGAUUGACUAAGGUUUCCAGAGGAAGGCUCGUCCGCUCUGGGUUAGUCGGGUCCUAAGCUGAGGCCGACAGGCGUAGGCGAUGGAUAACAGGUUGAUAUUCCUGUACCACCUAUAAUCGUUUUA